AAGCAAUGAAGCAGACAUUCAACAGAGCACUCAAAGCAGCAAUGAUUUCGGUUAUCAGAAAGAAAGUCCCAAGGCGUUGCUACAUGGAGCAGUCAUCUCUGCCUUUCUGGCCAUAGCUCAAGCCAUGACUGAUCAAGGAUGUGUAUAGAAAAAGAAAGUUAAUUUGUUGUUUUUCACUACCAAUGACCACCAUUUGGAGACUCAUUCACUCCAUAGCAGGAAAACUGCAGAGCUCAUCAACAUCUUCGUAUCGUCAUCGGAAUCCUUACCGGAUAAAAAAAAAUAUUAGAGACAUGACAACUAUCAUUGUAACAUACAUGUAAUGUAGUAGUGGGUAGUGCAAGACAUGGAAAUGGAUGAGUUGUUAUUUUAGAAUUUUAUUGGAAUAGGAAUUUGCAUGAGCAAUA